rnacentral:rRNA from 1 species
UACAGAGGCCUCGAGCGUUAAUCGGAAUCACUGGGCUUAAAGGGUGCGUAGGCGGCGCUGCAAGUGCCUUGUGAAAUCCCAUCGCUUAACGAUGGAACUGCUCGGUAGACUGCAGCGCUUGAGGUUGGUAGGAGCUGCCGGAACUCUAGGUGGAGCGGUGAAAUGCGUAGAUAUCUAGAGGAACGCCCAAGGCGAAGGCAGGCAGCUGGGCCAAUUCUGACGCUGAGGCACGAAAGCGUGGGGAGCAAACGGG